ensembl:lncRNA
CACACACACACACACACACACACACACACACACACACUUUUGCAGCUUCCUCUGACAGCUGCCCUGGCCUUCUGAAAUAGCCCUAUGGAAUAUUCCUCGCUUCCGUCUCCCUCUAAGCUGUGCUGAAAAGCUGUUUUUUUGGACACUGGCAAGAGUCAUUGCUGCCCACCCCAUCCCCAACCUCUGCCAACAUAAGUCCCCGUGUGGGUCCUGGGCAAAGACGGCUCAAGACAGUGUUAAAAGAUGAGCUUGACUCAGCUAAUAUUGGCAUCUCAUCGAGGGGAACCUCCUGACCCAAGGGUUGAACUCACAUCUCUUGCAUCUCCUGCAUCGGCAGACAGACUGUUUACCACUGCGCCACCUGGGUAGCCCCAUGAGCUUGUAUUAUGCUUACAAU